rnacentral:rRNA from 2 species
UUUCUGCUCAGGACGAACGCUGGCGGCGUGCCUAAUACAUGCAAGUUGAGCGCUGAAGGUUGGUACUUGUACCAACUGGAUGAGCAGCGAACGGGUGAGUAACGCGUGGGGAAUCUGCCUUUGAGCGGGGGACAACAUUUGGAAACGAAUGCUAAUACCGCAUAAAAACUUUAAACACAAGUUUUAAGUUUGAAAGAUGCAAUUGCAUCACUCAAAGAUGAUCCCGCGUUGUAUUAGCUAGUUGGUGAGGUAAAGGCUCACCAAGGCGAUGAUACAUAGCCGACCUGAGAGGGUGAUCGGCCACAUUGGGACUGAGACACGGCCCAAACUCCUACGGGAGGCAGCAGUAGGGAAUCUUCGGCAAUGGACGAAAGUCUGACCGAGCAACGCCGCGUGAGUGAAGAAGGUUUUCGGAUCGUAAAACUCUGUUGGUAGAGAAGAACGUUGGUGAGAGUGGAAAGCUCAUCAAGUGACGGUAACUACCCAGAAAGGGACGGCUAACUACGUGCCAGCAGCCGCGGUAAUACGUAGGUCCCGAGCGUUGUCCGGAUUUAUUGGGCGUAAAGCGAGCGCAGGUGGUUUAUUAAGUCUGGUGUAAAAGGCAGUGGCUCAACCAUUGUAUGCAUUGGAAACUGGUAGACUUGAGUGCAGGAGAGGAGAGUGGAAUUCCAUGUGUAGCGGUGAAAUGCGUAGAUAUAUGGAGGAACACCGGUGGCGAAAGCGGCUCUCUGGCCUGUAACUGACACUGAGGCUCGAAAGCGUGGGGAGCAAACAGGAUUAGAUACCCUGGUAGUCCACGCCGUAAACGAUGAGUGCUAGAUGUAGGGAGCUAUAAGUUCUCUGUAUCGCAGCUAACGCAAUAAGCACUCCGCC